UGGGGAAUAUUGCACAAUGGGCGAAAGCCUGAUGCAGCCAUGCCGCGUGUAUGAAGAAGGCCUUCGGGUUGAAAAGUACUUUCAGCGGGGAGGAAGGGAGUAAAGUUAAUACCUUUGCUCAUUGACGUUACCCGCAGAAGAAGCACCGGCUAACUCCGUGCCAGCAGCCGCGGUAAUACGGAGGGUGCAAGCGUUAAUCGGAAUUACUGGGCGUAAAGCGCACGCAGGCGGUCUGUCAAGUCGGAUGUGAAAUCCCCGGGCUUAACCUGGGAACUGCAUUCGAAACUGGCAGGCUAGAGUCUUGUAGAGGGGGGUAGAAUUCCAGGUGUAGCGGUGAAAUGCGUAGAGAUCUGGAGGAAUACCGGUGGCGAAGGCGGCCCCCUGGACAAAGACUGACGCUCAGGUGCGAAAGCGUGGGGAGCAAACAGG
rnacentral:rRNA from 1 species